CUAAUAUCAGAAUUCAAAUUCAAAAAUUUAUUUUUUUUUCAGUUGCCCUAAUCCUCUUAGUGCUGUCAAUCAACUAGUAUGUGUGCUGCCAAAUGUGCUGAUGGCGGAGAAACAACUCAUCAUUACAGGAAAACUGUUUCUCCACCAUCAUUGGUGGCCAUGCUAACUAGCCUUAGCAUUCAUGAUGGGCUCUACUGUUGGGAAGAAGCUUCAGUGUAGCAGAGAGGGUGAUUGACAGCGCUAAGCUCCUCCUCCUGGGUCUGAUUGGUUGAUUCUGACUGAACAGUGUGUUUCUGUAGUUUCUGGGAGAAGACACAGAUUAUCUGUCAUGACAGAGUGACAGUUUUAACAAAUAUUUAAAAACAUUUUUUUAAAUCUUGAAGUUGCAUACUGUAGCUUUAAGGCUUUUAGGAAAGUCUAACUGUUCUUUAUUUAUUUUCCCUUGUUUCUAAAGGUUCAAAGAAGUCGAGGUAAAACCGCUUGAACUUUCAGCUUUUGUUGUAAAUGUGAAACUUUGCCCAAUUGUUUCUCAGUAUUGUUGGAAAAUUAUGGUAAAAGAUGAUGCAUCUUUUAGAAAAUUAUUCAAAAUUUUUCACACCCUACUGUAAACGUCAGAGCACACACACACACACACACACACACACAUGUUCUCAUGUGUUUCCUUCCAGGUGAAUUAAUCUGGUGUUAAACUUUGUAACAUAGAAACUCUGAAUCUGCUAAUCACUGAUUUCACGUUGAUUUGAUCAUCCAACAGAAUAAUGUGCCGUUCAAUUUACUGACUCUACUAAAAGUUAAAGAUGAGACUUUUAAAACUCUUUAUUAAUCACAUAGCAUGUUUCAUGUUGAAAUGUGAGAUGAAUGUAUUUGUAACAUUUAGGCCAUGAUGUCUAAAACGGUUCAACGCUGCUGACCGACGACAGUUUAACCGUUUCAUUUAUCGAUUCAAGUGUCUUUUUUGUGUCUUCUACCCUAAAUAUACAUAUUUUACCACGAUUUUUUUUGUUCUUAAAGAAAAUGUGUUAAAUACAAAUUAUAAAAUGCAAUAAGAUUGUUCAAAUAUUAAAUCAACUCGAUGCUUCACCUGUUAAAAGAAGGACCUUCUGAUGAUGAUUUUAGGAUCUUUUGUUUUGUAAAAUAUAUUUUUUCAUGAUGUCAUUGUUGCCACAUCUGGGUCUUGUGGCAGGAAAAUUUGUACAGUUUCAUUGGGUUACUUACUUACAUAGUGUAAGAUGGAUUUGUUUUGUAUUAUUUUAAAUGUAAAGGUAGGGAUUUUAACUGAGAUUUAUUAGUAUUUCGCACUUAAAUUUCCAGGUGUUUUUUUUUUUUUUUUACAUCAUGUCAGAAAUUAGAACCGUCUUCUUGCAGGUAAAGGUAGAGCUCCAGCUUGAAAGCUGUCUGUAUUGUUUUCAAAUGCUACAGAUUGUUUUUCAAUAAAUUGAUUAACUAUUGUG